CCCUUUCUAUAUCACUGUUUCUGCUCCCACUGGAAGGCUAUUCCAGGUAUCUACUACCCUUUCUAUAUUGCUGUUACUGCUCCCACUGGAAGGCUAUUCCAGGUAUCUACUACCCUUUCUAUAUCGCUGUUACUGCUCCCACUGGAAGGCUAUUCCAGGUAUCUACUACCCUUUCUAUAUCGCUGUUACUGCUUCCACUGGAAGGCUAUUCCAGGUAUCUACU